rnacentral:rRNA from 1 species
AUGGAAAGAGGAACUACUAUCUUUUUUUUGGGGGGGGGGGGCAAGGAAGUUUUUCUAAAAGCUAUUCUGGAGGUAAUACCACCUUAUGCAAUGUUGGUUUUCAAAUUACCUGAGAAAAUUUGUAAUGGGAUCACUACAACCAUGUCCCAAUACUGGUGGGGAGAUGAUGAUAUGAAGAAACAUAUGCACUGGAUUGCGUGGUGGAAAAUGUGUGUCCCCAAAAAUAGAGAAGGUAUAGGCUUUAGAGAUCUUCAUUGUUUUAAUAUGGCAUUGUUAGCAAUGCAAUGUUGGAGGAUUUUAUCAUAAACUGAUUCGUUAUGUGCAAGGGGGAGCAAAAUAUUUCUCUGA